UACGUAGGGGUCCGAGCGUUGUCCGGAAUUAUUGGGCGUAAAGGGCUCGUAGGCGGUCUGUUGCGUCGGGAGUGAAAACUUACAGCUUAACUGUGAGCGUGCUUUCGAUACGGGCAGACUUGAGGCAUUCAGGGGAGAACGGAAUUCCUGGUGUGAGCGGUGAAAUGCGCAGAUAUCAGGAGGAACACCGGUGGCGAAGGCGGUUCUCUGGGAAUGUCCUGACGCUGAGGAGCGAAAGCAUGGGUAGCAAACAGG
rnacentral:rRNA from 1 species